AUUGAACGCUGGCGGCAGGCCUAACACAUGCAAGUCGAACGGUAACAGGGAUCAGCUUGCUGAUUCGCUGACGAGUGGUGGACGGGUGAGUAAUGUCUGGGAAACUGCCUGAUGGAGGGGGAUAACUACUGGAAACGGUAGCUAAUACCGCAUAACGUCGCAAGACCAAAGAGGGGGACCUUCGGGCCUCUUGCCAUCGGAUGUGCCCAGAUGGGAUUAGCUAGUAGGUGGGGUAACGGCUCACCUAGGCGACGAUCCCUAGCUGGUCUGAGAGGAUGACCAGCCACACUGGAACUGAGACACGGUCCAGACUCCUACGGGAGGCAGCAGUGGGGAAUAUUGCACAAUGGGCGCAAGCCUGAUGCAGCCAUGCCGCGUGUAUGAAGAAGGCCUUCGGGUUGUAAAGUACUUUCAGCGGGGAGGAAGGGAGUAAAGUUAAUACCUUUGCUCAUUGACGUUACCCGCAGAAGAAGCACCGGCUAACUCCGUG
rnacentral:rRNA from 1 species